CGCCUACGGGAGGCAGCAGUGGGGAAUAUUGGACAAUGGGCGAAAGCCUGAUCCAGCAAUGCCGCGUGAGUGAUGAAGGCCUUAGGGUUGUAAAGCUCUUUUACCAGGGAUGAUAAUGACAGUACCUGGAGAAUAAGCUCCGGCUAACUCCGUGCCAGCAGCCGCGGUAAUACGGAGGGAGCUAGCGUUGUUCGGAAUUACUGGGCGUAAAGCGCGCGUAGGCGGUGACUCAAGUCAGAGGUGAAAGCCCGGGGCUCAACCCCGGAACUGCCUUUGAAACUAGGUCGCUAGAAUCUUGGAGAGGCGAGUGGAAUUCCGAGUGUAGAGGUGAAAUUCGUAGAUAUUCGGAAGAACACCAGUGGCGAAGGCGACUCGCUGGACAAGUAUUGACGCUGAGGUGCGAAAGUGUGGGGAGCAAACAGGAUUAGAUACCCUGGUAGUCCACACCGUAAACGAUGAUAACUAGCUGUCCGGGCUCUUGGAGUUUGGGUGGCGCAGCUAACGCAUUAAGUUAGCCGNCUGGGGAGUACGGUCGACAACACA
rnacentral:rRNA from 1 species